rnacentral:tRNA from 1 species
GUUAGUAUAGCUCAGGGGGAGAGCACUUGCCCAGGAUGCAGGAGGCUCUGGGUUUAAUCCCCAGUACGCUCU